UGCUUGAUUCCUUCAUGGACGUACCUUGCUAAUUCGUUGUAAAAAUAUUUUUCUGCUUUUCUGCAAACUCGUGUGUUUAGAGAUAACAUUCAUCAAAUCCACCUCAUUCCUACAGAAAACUAAGUUAACAUCCAAUUCGACUUCUUCAACAUCUGCUAUCAGUUCGCUUGUUCAUUCGUUGUCAUAACGUCACGUCAUACAAGAUUAACAGUGUUGAUUGAUUUGGUAGAGAAAGUGUUCAGUAAAUAAACAAUUUAUCAACAAACUCUUUGCAUCUUUAAAAAUGGCGUCCCGGGAAGUGAUCAGCAUCGCGUCUGAUGAUAGCGACACCGAGGAGGACCAGAGCCCACAUAACAAAUUGUCGGAACAAAAGCAUAACAGCAGCUCCCGUAAACACAAGAAACACAAGCGGCACAAAAAAUCAUCCAAAUCCGAGAAAGGGGACAAGCAGCACAAACCGAAAAAACACAAAAAACAUAAAAGGAAGCACCGCGGAGAGGAAGAUGAUCAAGAGAGUAGCUCCGAAGGCGAACAUGCUAAAAACGGUGCUUCGGCGGAACCCCGUAAAGUAGAGCAAACGAUUCGAGCAAAACAACCCAUGGAUGACGAUGAGCAUAGCGAUGAGCGACAUAAAAGAGCUGAACAUGUUGCGCGCUCUAAGAACAACGGCAGCACCAAGGACAUAGUGGAAAAGAGAAAGGGGCAUAUUUCAACCGAUCCUGAUAAACUGGUACAAAUGUUGACGCAAAAUCUGGAAAAGCGUAAAGAGGACGUAGUGUCGGUAGAAAGCGAAAGCGAUGGUACCGCGGUAGAAGAUGCUCCUAGUCCAGACGUUGCAGUCAUUGAGGAUGAUGAGCUCAAUCUGGAAGACUUAAUGCGACAGAAAGCAUUGCUACAAGCGCGCCUCGGUGAGUAUGCAACCGAUGAGGAAGAUGACGGGCAAGGCAAAGUGUCAAGAGCCGAAAUGAACUCCAGAGAACGGCCGGUUAAGAAAAAGAAGGUUGAUACCAACGAAACGGUCAUCACGAUUGACGGUGACUCGACGCCGGAUGAUGACAAACUGCGGAAAAAGCCGUCGAUUGUUACCAACCGCAUGUCUCGAGGUAAUAAAGAGGAUGCUCAUGCAGGACAAAGAGGGAACAACGCAGAUGCCGACACCAAGAGAAGUAAAGACCAGCAAAUACAUCCGGCGGAGGCACGUGCCCGUCAAAUUGAACGGGACCGCGAUCGCGAUCGUGAAACUAGAACCAGAGACGAUCGCCGCAAUCGAGAAGAGGAUAAUUAUAAACGGCGUAUGGCUGAGGAGCGAUAUGAACGGGAAAAGGCACGAGAACGAGACCGGGAUCGAGAACGGGAACGGGACAGGGAACGGGCUCGAGCUCGUCAACGGGAGCGAGAUCGUUCUCUGGAGAGACGACGUGAUCGACGAGGAUACUCUCCCCGUGAUAGAAGUCGAGAAAGACGUUCGAUUGAGCGCGAUCGUGGCCGCCUUGGACCUAUAAGCAUGGGUUCGCGUGAUCGCUUUCGCGGCCGUAGUAGGAGUAGAGAUAGGGAUAUGCGAGGUGUUGGAACAAGGAUGGACCGGGAAAGGGAUCGCGAGCGAUUUCGUGAUAGAGACCGAGCUCGAGAUUACGGUCGUGGCAUGCAGCGAAAUGGGCGCGAUGGCCGUGCUGGUGGAAAGGGCCGUAAGCCAGAUGACGAUCGCUUUAAAGACUCGCUAAGUGAAGGAUUAAAGCAACAAAAAGAGUCGAGCAGUGAAAGUGAAAUCGCAGAUAUUGAUAUCGACGACGAGGAGGACGAAGAAAAGAUUAUUGAAAAAAGACGAAAAGAACGUGAAGCGCUGCUCAAGAAACUGGGUGUGUUGAAUGAAGACAGUAAUACGAUGACGGAAGUGGAGCCUCCCGAGCUUAAACAGGUCAGUAUGAUUAGUACAGCUCCGUCAUCCCUUAACGAGAGCCGUGAAACUACUAGCCAGCGCGCAGAGGAUAACGACUGCGACGGAACAGACCAAUCGCUCACCCCACCGAUACCGAACGAGCGGAAAGCCCUGAUGGAUAAGGUAGAACGUAAGCCGAAAGAAUCACCCGAACCACCGAAAGAUCUGGACAGGCAGAGUAAGGAACCAAAAACUUCUGCGAAAGAAAAUUCUAAACGUCCCGAAUGGGACAUGUUUGCCGAACAGGACAUCGACUCGAAUUUCGACUCACCUGGCACGGUUGUGGCAAACAAACAGGCGCACGAGAAUCCGGCCCUCACGGACAACUGGGACGACGCGGAAGGCUACUAUCGUGUACGCAUCGGUGAAAUCUUGGACAAUCGGUAUGUGGUCGCUAACUACACUGGACAAGGUGUGUUCAGUACGGUCGUGAAGGCGCGGGACCAAGCACGUGGUAACGCUUUUGUUGCCGUCAAAAUCAUUCGCAACAACGAGAUCAUGCAUAAAACGGGCUUGAGAGAACUGGAAAUAUUGAAGAAACUGAACGACGCUGAUCCCAGCGAUCGGUACCACUGUCUUCGCUUGUACAGACACUUUUUCCAUAAGCAACAUCUGUGCAUGGUUCUUGAGCCAUUGUCAAUGAACCUGCGCGAGGUAUUGAAAAAGUAUGGCAAAAAUGUAGGCCUGCACAUUAAAGCAGUGCGCAGCUAUACUCAACAGUUACUUCUUGCUCUGAAAUUGUUAAAAAAGACGGGAAUUCUUCAUGCCGACAUUAAACCGGAUAACAUUUUGGUGAACGAAAACAACUUGGUGCUUAAGCUGUGUGAUUUUGGAUCGGCAUCUUCGAUCACAGAUAACGAAAUUACACCGUACUUGGUAUCCCGUUUCUACCGUGCACCAGAAAUUAUUCUUGGCCUAACGUAUGAUUAUGGUAUCGACAUGUGGUCGGCCGGCUGUUCGAUCUAUGAGCUGUACACGGGCAAGAUACUGUUUAGUGGCCAGUCCAAUAAUCAAAUGCUUAAAUGUUUCAUGGAUCUGAAAGGCAAAAUUCCAAACAAGCUGAUUCGCAAAGGACAAUUCAAGGAUCAACAUUUCGACCAGAAUUGCAACUUUCUAUCUCACGAGAUAGAUAAAAUCACCGAAAGGGAAAAAGUCGUGGUAGUGUCAAUGAUCAAACCAACGAGGGAUCUGCAACAGGAAUUGAUCGCUGGUCAAAAUCUUCCCGACGACCAGAUACGGAAAGUGUCCCAGCUGAAAGACUUAUUAGACAAAGUGUUUGCCCUUGAUCCUGCUAAAAGAAUUUCAUUGAAUCAUGCAUUGGCUCAUCCGUUCAUUCAGGACAAGAUCUGAAUACUGCACUCACCUUGCCGCGGAAUUAUCUGUAUGCAACGGAAGUUUUACCCUUCCAAGUAAUGGUUCAACGCCGAAUCAACGUCAGCUAUACACAUAUUAACGAUCCUUUUCUUACUUACACUUCACUGAUAAAUAUUUCUACAUCCGCACUCGCCCGUAUGUUCUUCGAUCGAUGAAGGAAGCCCAACCCCAUCAUGCAAUCAUCAUUCAUUCGUAGGAGUUGAAGUGUGUGAUUGUUAUACUGAAGCCCAUGAUGAGAAAUUGUAGCUACAUUUUCUCUUGUUUUUCACGAAGAAAAAAUAAGAGAGCAUCUGAUGUUGAGAAUGAGUACAUUUACUCAGUUGGACGACCUACUCAGUACGCGUCAAGCGAUUAAUUAAGGCUUGAAAGCAAUCUGUGCCCUAAUGGAUUCCAGCCAGUAUUUGACAAAAAUCCCCACGUCAAACAGAAGCAUGCGUCCCGUCAUGGAUUAGGUCUCUUUUGGAAUAAUCCCACGGCACGCCCCUCACGGGAAUUCGAUGCUGUUAAGCUGUGCUUAAGAGGUAGUGAAGAAUUAUCCAAUGUUUCGUUAAUUAUUUACACUUGUGCAAGUUAACUAUUACCAACAUACGUUAAGUCCUGUAGAACUCUAGUUAUCGGAUUGUCUUUCAAUACUUCAUGCAUCUGAUUUAUUUAUUCGUUUAAUGAAAACAAAAUCAAAGUUUGUUAAUACUUUUCUUUGCUUAACAAUUGUUCAACAUUUUAAAGAAACACGUCUUGUCGCAGUGAUGUUCUUAUCAACAUUUGGAACAGCUGAAUGAAAGAUGCAGGCAUAUUACAGAUGAUAGCUUCGAGCAAUUAUGUACAACGUAUCGUUGUGAAUCAGGUUGUUAUGUGUUCGUACCCUUGAAACAAUCGCGAGAAAAAGAUACUUCUUGGUCUUUGUGCUUAGUCUCUUUUCAGUAUGUACUGGUGGUUGCUACUGCUUGAAAUCCAAGAGACGCCAGGGUUUUAAAGAAAUGCUCUUCGUGCAAAUGAAGAACGGUAAGUUCCACAUUUCCAUCUAACUAGUAAACUAUCCGAAUGUAAAUGGCUCACUGUGCAGCUGGUGUGGUUUAUGCAGAAACUGAAGGCUCAGAAAUGUUGAUAUUUCUUCUGGAUACUUGAAUAAAGAUGGCUCAUAUUCAUAUUGAGAUUUUAAAUGGCACAAACUGUGAGUCUUUUUAAUGUAUCUUUUAAGUUGUGAACGAAGUACCAUGACAAAUAAAUAAGUCAUACUCUUUAAUCAAA